UAACAUAUCAUCAGCCGAGCGGUCCAAGGCGCUAGCUUCAGGUGCUAGUAGCGAAAGCUGCGUGGGUUCGAAUCCCACUCUGUUCA
rnacentral:tRNA from 1 species